UGCAUCCACUUCUUUUCCAACUCUAGAGAGUUCUCCAAGAAGGAAGAACUCUUAUUUUCAACAAAUGAAGAUAGAGGAAGUAACGAGAAAUAAAUUGAGGGAGAGAUUAAAGGGUCAAGGUUGGUGAUUAUUCAAGUUUAUGGCAGCAAGGAUGGGUCCAUUAAAGAAGCAAAAACGUUUUUGACCAAGCCCUAAAAUUUUCAAGCAAAUUGUGUCAUAAAUCUAAGGUAUGAGGCAGCAUAUACAUGUUGUGUGUGGAUAAACACUAAAGGUAUUGAAGUUCGAUUUGCUGAUCCACCUAUUUAGGAUAUUUGCUGCGUCGUUGACAGUGCUCCCUUGUUCGAAGCUUGUAUUUUGGUACUGACUUUAUCUCUGUAUAUUUGGAUAUUUUGGUCAGAGGUACGACGGGGCCCUGUCCCGUCAUAUGACUAUGCUAUCAUCUGUAGAGGUCUGUAGACAAAGUUAUGUUGUGGAUUUUGUAUAUAUGUUUUGGGUUGUGUGUGUUUCGUGACGGCCUAUCAGCC